rnacentral:lncRNA from 1 species
AGGCCCCGUGAGGACACGCGCGGUGGUGGCGGUGGCGGCGGGCGCGCGGCCGCAGCCGGAGGAGGACGGCGGGAGCGUGCGAGGAGCUGGCUCGGUUAUUUCGGAGCGAGAGCCGAGGCCGGGGGAAGUUCCUGCGGAGUGCUCAAGGGCAGAAGAGGUGCCGCGUCCCGAAGAGGGGAAGCGGAGAAGUUUGCUGCUGCCCGGGUCGCCUCGCGACGCUGAGAGAAUCGCCCAGCCCUCCGCAGCCGCCCAGCGAGAACCGGAGCUGCGGCCCCGCACCGGCGUGAGUCCAGCUGAGCUGACACGCCGAGCCGGUUGUGCCUUUCCGAGGGAGGAAUGUGCCGUGGAAUCCAAACUUUGGAAAACGUCCCACCCGAAUUCCCAGCGAGCAGCAAGGAGACCAGAGCGUCGAUGGAGCCACCGUUAGUUGCGGGAGGGCUGUCCCCAAGAGGAAUUCAUCACUGUCGUCCGCUGGGAGGGACCAACCUUGAAAUGGGGUUGGUGGAGAGAGGGAUAGAGAAGAGCCGGCGUGCUUAUAAAUAACAAAACUUAGCUAUGAACCCUUCCGAUUCCCAAGUGGGGAAGAUGGGGUAAAAUUCUAAGUGACUUCUCGCUCCGAAGAGGGAUACCACAAAAAGCGGAGCGCAGGGUACUUGGCGUAUAAUAAGCCAUCAAUAAUUUAUGGGUGAAAUUGAGAGCCAAAUAUAAGAUGAUAAACUGAAGAAUAAAAACAGCUGACAAAUACUGUAUAGAAAAGAUUGCGUUGGAAUCAUAACUGUGGAUUGGAAGUGAUGUUAAGGAUUAUUGGAUUGAGUAUUUGUAGCUGAAUUUCUGCUGGCAUUUCUAUCAGUGGGGAAAGCCCUCACAGCUCCAUAGGUGUGUGUUGUCGAGACAAUACAGCAGUGAAGAGAAGGCAUGCAAAGCUGUCUUGUUGGAGUCUGGCUAAAGAGCACCAAAGCAGCCUGUUGUGGGAUGUCCUCUGGGGGCCACCUGGACUUGCUAUGUUAACAUGGAGGGACUAGGCAGGGGUAUGAAGAAGGAAGCCCAGCAGAGCAGGAGGCAGCAGCAACAAUGAGAGAUUGGUUAUCCAUAUGACUUGGAUCUGUGUCCCCACCCAAAUCUCAUGUUGAAUUGUAAUCCCCAAUGUUGGAGGUGGGGACUGGUGGGAGGUGACUGGAUCAUGGGGGUGGAUUUCUUAUGAAUGGUUUAGUACCAUCCACUUUGUAUUGUCCCCGUGGUAAUGAGUGAGUUCUUAAGAAAUCUGGUCAUUGAAAAAUAUGUGGCACCUCCUCCCUCUCUCUUUUGCUCCUGCCCCGGCUAUAUGAUGCAAUUUGUCUUCAGCCAUGAUUGUAAGUUUCCCGAGGCCUCCCCAGAAGCUGAGCAGAUGCCAGCAUCAUGCUUCCUGUACAGCCUGCCUUCCAUGAGCCAAUUAAACUUCUUUCCUUUACAAAUU